rnacentral:misc_RNA from 1 species
GUGAGUCAUCGAAUCUUUGAACGCACAUUGCGCCCCCUGGCAUUCCGGGGGGCAUGCCUGUCCGAGCGUCAUUUCUGCCCUCAAGCACGGCUUGUGUGUUGGGUGUGGUCCCCCCGGGGACCUGCCCGAAAGGCAGCGGCGACGUCCGUCUGGUCCUCGAGCGUAUGGGGCUCUGUCACUCGCUCGGGAAGGACCUGCGGGGGUUGGUCACCACCAUAUUUUACCACGGUUGACCUCGGAUCAGGUAGGAGUUACCCGCUGAACUUAAGCAUAUCAAUAAGCGGAGGA